UUCGGUAUAUGAGCCUGGAGGGAAUUCUGCAUUCCGCGUAAUUUUCAGUUUUUCAUGGCUGAAAAUUUGAUUUCGUCGAAAUUUAACUGAUCAUUGAUUUAUGUUAUCUCAAAAGACGAAGAAGAAAAGUGUGUGAUUUUUUUUACCGUGUUUAAUGGAGUUUUAAGGGUUUUUUGAUUGAUACUACUCGAUUUCUAACGGUUGAUCGCCUACGAAUGGACUGCUUGGAAUCCUCAUAUAGUGCUGGAGUUUCAUAUACACUACCGUGGUAACUAAUCAACCGACUCCAAUUAUUUAUUGAUUUGCCCGUUAUUUUGUGUAUGCCGUAUCUUUUCUGCAGUAAGUUUUAGAAUUACGGAGAAAGGAACAAGACAUUUUGGAAGAUUGAUAGUAUUUCUUGGUUAGGAGUUAGGUGUUUGGUGUCAUGGUUCUUGUUGAUUCCUGGCAAAAAUUUUAGAUUCUUCUUUGUUAAUACUAAUGAAUGUUGUCGAAUACACUUUACCAACAACUCCAUGAAUAUAUAUAUCCAAUACUUAAUCAACUUAGGAUAACAGUUUGUUUUACCUAACAGUAAAUAACAGUUGAUCCCAUGAUUCAGAGAGAGUAUAAUGAAUCAGGAUUUUAUAAUAAGCUAACUAGUCAAUGGCUGCUUGACUACAAUAUGAAAAAAAUCAAGCCCAACCGUGUAUAAGAGUAUAAUAUUUUGAGAUACAAUCGUCAUAUCUUACUCCUCAUUCUUACUAACUUGGCUAAUGUUUCUUGAGCGGCUAAUGUUUGAGCAUGGUUGUGGCCUAGCAUCACUGUCCUGAUACUGAUGCAAGUUCUGCACAGCUCUUCCCCACUGUCAAAACGGCCUCCUCUCAGCAGUAAUUUUGCUCUUGUCUCGAGCAGCAUAGCUUUCAGCAAUGUCACUUCCUUCCACACGUACUCAUCCACUCUCUGAUUCGAUUGCAG
rnacentral:lncRNA from 1 species